rnacentral:RNase_P_RNA from 1 species
UCGGAGCCAGAUUGUCGCUCCACGUUCUUUGAUCCCAAGGCGCGGGUAACGCCGCGCUCGUUGAACCGUGGAGAGGAAAGUCCGGACACUGCAGGGCAGGAUUCCAGGCAAGAAACGUUGUCGCGCCGGCGCGGCAGGCCGCAAGGCCACCGUCCGGAGUCGCUUCUGCUCAAGCCGGGGCGCUUCAGGUCAAGCUGAAGCGACGGACAGUGUCACAGAAAACAGGUAGCCUCCAGCAGGCCGCGAAAGCGUCCGGCGCGAGGUGAUAGUGAAAAGGUGGGGUAAGAGCCCACCGCGUUCGCCCGCGAGGGCGGCGGCACGAAAAACCCAAUCCGGUGCAAGACAAAAUAGGCGGCUGGACGGCCCGUCCCAAAGCCGCGGGUAUGUCGCAUCCCGCUUCGGUGGGAAGGCUGCACAAGCAGCCUAGAGAAAUGACAAUUAGGGGCGCCUCACGGCGCCCCACAGAAUCCGGCUUACGGCUCCGAAACU